GUGGUCUGCGCGCGCGCAUGCUCAGUGCUCUCUCGACAAGUUGGCAGCAACAACACGGCCCUGGUCGUCGUCGCCGCUGCGGUAACGGAGCGGCUCGGGUGGCGGAGCCCGCGUUCGCGCCCGCCCGCUCUCCUCGGGAGGCCUUUGCCGUCCUCCCCUCGGCUCUGCGGCCGCCCAGGGGGUAGGAGCGGGUCAGGCGAGCCGGGCGCCCCGCGAGAGAGACCCCCUGCCGCGGGGCGGCCCGGGAGCUCGAGGCGGUCCGGCCCGCGCGGGCAGCGGCGCGGCGCCGAGGAGGGGCUGCCUGGCCCGGACGCCUCCGGGCGGGGGCCGAGGAGCGCUCCGGGCCCCCGGGUGAAGCGACCGGCCCUGCGCGUCCGUGGACGAGCAGCGGCGGGAGAGCGGGCUCCCCUCGCCAUCGCCCGAGCCCAGGUUAUCCUGAAUACAUGUCUAACAGUUUUCCUCGCAUCGUUAGCCAUUGUUUUUCACUGCCUCUGAAAAAUAAAAGUUGCUCCAGAAAUUGGAGACAUAUUUGAUUUAAAAGAAAAAACUUGAACAAAUGGACAAUAUGUCUAUUACAAAUACACCAACAAGUAAUGAUGCCUGUCUGAGCAUUGUGCAUAGUUUGAUGUGCCAUAGACAAGGUGGAGAGAGUGAAACAUUUGCAAAAAGAGCAAUUGAAAGUUUGGUAAAGAAGCUGAAGGAGAAAAAAGAUGAAUUGGAUUCCUUAAUAACAGCUAUAACUACAAAUGGAGCUCAUCCUAGUAAAUGUGUUACCAUACAGAGAACGCUGGAUGGAAGGCUUCAGGUGGCUGGUCGGAAAGGAUUUCCUCAUGUGAUUUAUGCUCGUCUCUGGAGGUGGCCUGAUCUUCAUAAAAAUGAACUAAAACAUGUUAAAUACUGUCAGUAUGCCUUUGACUUAAAAUGUGAUAGUGUCUGUGUGAAUCCAUAUCACUAUGAACGAGUUGUAUCACCUGGAAUUGAUCUCUCAGGAUUAACACUGCAGAAUAAUGCUCCACCAAGUAUGUUGGUAAAGGAUGAAUAUGUUCAUGACUUUGAGGGACAGCCAUCGUUAUCCACUGAAGGACAUUCAAUUCAAACCAUCCAGCAUCCACCAAGUAAUCGUGCGUCGACAGAGACAUACAGCACCCCAGCUCUGUUAGCCCCAUCCGAGUCUAAUGCUACCAGCAACGCCAACUUUCCCAACAUUCCUGUGGCUUCCACAAGUCAGCCUGCUAGUAUACUAGCAGGCAGCCAUAGUGAAGGACUGUUGCAGAUAGCAUCAGGGCCUCAGCCAGGACAGCAGCAGAAUGGAUUUACUGGUCAGCCAGCUACUUACCAUCAUAACAGCACUACCACCUGGACUGGAAGUAGGACUGCACCAUACACACCUAAUUUGCCUCACCACCAAAACGGCCAUCUUCAGCACCACCCGCCUAUGCCGCCCCAUCCCGGACAUUACUGGCCAGUUCACAAUGAGCUUGCAUUCCAGCCUCCCAUUUCCAAUCAUCCUGCUCCUGAGUAUUGGUGUUCCAUUGCUUACUUUGAAAUGGAUGUUCAGGUAGGAGAGACAUUUAAGGUCCCUUCAAGCUGCCCUAUCGUUACUGUUGAUGGAUAUGUGGACCCUUCAGGAGGAGAUCGCUUUUGCUUGGGUCAACUCUCCAAUGUCCACAGGACAGAAGCCAUUGAGAGAGCAAGGUUGCACAUAGGCAAAGGUGUGCAGUUGGAAUGUAAAGGUGAAGGUGACGUUUGGGUCAGGUGCCUUAGUGACCACGCAGUCUUUGUACAGAGUUACUACUUAGACAGAGAAGCCGGGCGUGCACCUGGAGAUGCUGUUCAUAAGAUCUACCCCAGUGCAUAUAUAAAGGUCUUUGAUUUGCGUCAGUGUCAUCGACAGAUGCAGCAGCAGGCGGCCACUGCACAAGCUGCAGCAGCCGCCCAGGCAGCAGCCGUGGCAGGAAACAUCCCUGGUCCAGGAUCAGUAGGUGGAAUAGCUCCAGCUAUCAAGUUAAACUCCUGACUAUAGACUUUUAUGAUGGAAACACGUGGCACCCAUCUUCCACGUCUGAAGGCAUAACUAGUGAUUCAUUCAACCCCUGUUCUUAACCUCUUCAGUGUGGUCUGUCAGCUGCCGCUGGAAUUGGUGUCGAUGACCUUCGUCGCUUAUGCAUACUCAGGAUGAGUUUUGUGAAAGGCUGGGGACCGGAUUACCCAAGACAGAGCAUCAAGGAAACCCCUUGCUGGAUUGAGAUUCACUUACACCGGGCCCUCCAGCUCCUAGACGAAGUACUUCACACCAUGCCAAUUGCGGACCCACAGCCUCUAGACUGAGGUCUUUCACUGCUGGGGCCCUUACCAUUAGCAGGAUGGUGGACUAUGAAAUACAAUCCUGUUUAUAAUCUGAAGAUAUAUUUCACUUUUGUUCUGCUUUAUCUUUUCAUAAAGGGUUGGAAUAUGUGUUUGCUGCCUUGCUCCUAGCAGACAGAAACUGGAUUAAAACAGUUUUUUCCCCUUAUUUAGAACUUUUCAGGCAUGGCUCAAAGCUUGAAGAUUAGGAAACACACAUUCUUAUUAAAUCUUCACCAGUUAUGUAUGAAGGAAUCAUUCCUGUCCUGGAAAGUUUAGCCCUUUAAAACGUCUUAGAGCCUUUUAUGUGCAGGACAUUGAUAGGUGUUAUUCUACAGAAUAAACCCAAUAUUACUGAUUUUAAAGGCAGAGAAGUUCUCAAAGUUAAUUCACCUAUGUUAUUUUGUGUGCAAGUUGUUAUUGUCGAACAUACUUUACUCCAAAAAUAUUGUGCCAUGUGGGUGAGUUAAUUUUACCAAGAGCAACUUUACUCUGUGUUUAAAAAAUAAGAUAGUAAUGUAUUAUAACCUUUCAUCCAAAAUAUUUUUUGCAAGUUAAACCUGUGAAGAUGAUUUCAAUUCAGAUCGUCUUGCAACUUCAGUUUUAUUUUUGCCAAGGCAAAAAACACUAAUCUGUGUGUAUAUUGAGAAUUCCUUAGAAUUACCAGAUGAAGAAAUGUCAUUUAAAUUACAUUUGUUAUCCCUAAUGGAUGACUAUUUAUCAAGAAGUAUACGUUUGCCCUGUUAAACAGUAGAUGUAUUCUUCUGUACUUCUAGGCACAAGGUUGAUUACUGUCUAGAAGAAGAAUUUCUUUUUCCUUCAUUAAUUCAUAGGGAAAGGUUUUGUAUUUUUAAAAACACUAAAAGCAGUGUCACUCUACCUAAUAUCUCACUGUUCUGCAAAGGUGGCAGUGCUUAAACUAAAUAAUGAGUAUUUUGAAAACUGCUAAAUUCUAUGUUAAAUACUGUGCAGAAUAAUGGAAACAUUACAGUUCAUAAUAGGUAGUUUGGAUAUUUUUGUACUUGAUUUGAUGUGUGACUUUUUUUUCGUAUACUGUUUAAAUCAUGUAUGUUAUGACAUUGUUUAAAAUUCAGUUUUUGUAUCUUGGGGCAAGACUGCAAACUUUUUUAUACCUUGUGGUUAUUCUAAGCCCUUUGCCAUCAAUGAUCAUAUCAAUUGGCAGUGACUUUGUAUAGAGAAUUUCAGUAGAAAAGUUGCAGAUGUAUUGACUGUACCACAGACACAAUAUGUAUGCUUUUUACCUAGUUAGUAGCAUAAAUAAAACUGAAUCUCAACAUGCAAAGUUGAA